ensembl:lncRNA
CUCUACACAAUGGCCUGAUAUUUAUAAGAUGUUGAUGCUGAUGAUGACCAAUUCUACUUCUUACCUCAGAGGAUGGACUGAUGGGAUUCCGAGACUUUCUCUGUGUGCUAACAGACACCCAACUUUUCUCCAAGUGUGUCAAUGACAGGACAGAGGCUGGGGAUAUCACGGAAACCGUGUUUCAUAAACAAGAUGCUGGACUCUGAAAUUCUAUCUAGCAGCACACAAGAAGAGAUAUUGUAGAUCUUCAUCCUCUUUGGCAGGCAAGACAGAGAGGAUAUAUUCCAUUAACUGGCCACAGGCUCCUUAUAGAUAUCCUCGAGUUUUUCUGGCACACGAUAUGGCUUCUUCACCUGCACUGGAAGGUCUCCCAGGUGUCCCAC